ensembl:lncRNA
GGGGAGCCUGGGCUUGGUCAAGAGGCCAUGGCAGGCAGGGCCCGGUGUGACGCAGAGAAGCUCAGGGAGGCCCAUUCAGAGCCCUGGGAAACAGCAGGCUGCAGGCUUCAGAUUUAGGUGGUGGCUGAGGAGAUGGGAAGAAGGAACUGACCAGAGAUACUUAAGGAGACAAAGGACCAGACCUGGGGCCUGACUGCUCCUGGGUGGUAAGGGAGCAGGAGUCGUCCUGGUCUCUAUGGAGAAAAGGAGGAGGCCAGCAGCCGGCCACCAGCACCAGUUACCGUGGACACAACCCUCAGGGACCCUGACCCCUCCCCCCGCAAGUGCCGAGCUCCGGCCUCUGACAGCCUGUUCCCCCCACCACCACCACUUUCCCCAGGGGCGGUGGCGCAGCUCUGCUGGCUCCUGGCCCAGUGCUCCUCCCUAAGCAGUCCGCUCUGCUCCAUGCAUCCAGCAGGGCAGGGAGGGAGGACAGCGGCGGCAGGAGUCUGCAGGCCGGAGGGGAAAGGAAGGCCAGGAAACCAACCUGGGGACCCCAACCAAGAGCCAGGCAGAGAAAGAGAGGGCGUGGCAGACGCCAGGAGGAGCCCACCCGUCACAAACCAUGCCCUGGCCUCAUGCCACCCCCACAGAGGGGAUGGGGACACUGAGGCCAGAGAUGGCCGAGGACAGGAAGACUAGAAGAACCCAGGUUUGGCAAACAUCGCCUCCUGCUGGACGCCCUCCCCCGCCACACCCUGGAGCGACCACCUCCACCCAGGGCUACUUUGAAGAUGGUGCCCAACAUCACAGGGCCCCAGAGCAGAGGCCCCCAGAUCCCCAUGGCACAGAAGGCUGAACUAGAGGGGAGGGAACUUGAGCUCACUCAGCUGGCAGCAAGUGGAGAUACGCUGAUCUCUGAAGAUUGGGACCAUGUUCCCCUGACAAGAAGCUAUUCUCAGGAAUGGAAGGACCCUGAACCCCAAAAGCCACAGGAUCCAGCCGGAAACAGGACAGGCUCAAACUCUGGGUUUCUGAGCCUAUGCUCCCCUCUCUGGACGCCAGGUCCCCCAAACGCACAAGGAUGGACUGAUUAGUGAUCUGAAAGAGCCAGUUUACCGCCUAACGCUGUACCACGCACCCAACUGUCUCCCGAAGUUUUCUAAAGCAAAAAUACAAACCUCACUGCCCUCCUCCCGGGGCCCCACAAUCGGAGGCCCUCUGAGAGACCCCGACUGCCAGGGGAUCCCGCAGCUCGACCAUCCCCGUCCCAGGACGAGACCCG